GUUGUCGUGGCCGAGUGGUUAAGGCGAUGGUACUAGAAAUCCAUUAGGAUCUUCCUGCGCAGGUUCGAAUCCUGCCGACAACG